rnacentral:rRNA from 1 species
AUUGAACGCUGGCGGCAUGCCUAACACAUGCAAGUCGAACGGCAGCACGAUAAGUAGCAAUACUUAUGGGUGGCGAGUGGCGGACGGGUGAGUAAUGCAUAGGAAUCUGCCUUAUAGACUGGGACAACUUGGGGAAACUCGAGCUAAUACCGGAUAAUCUCUACGGAGGAAAGGAUGGGACUGGAAACGGCCAUUCGCUAGAAGAUGAGCCUAUGUCGGAUUAGCUAGUUGGUGGGGUAAAGGCCUACCAAGGCGAUGAUCUGUAGCUGGUCUGAGAGGAUGGACAGCCACACUGGGACUGAGACACGGCCCAGACUCCUACGGGAGGCAGCAGUGGGGAAUAUUGGACAAUGGGGCAACCCUGAUCCAGCGAUGCCGCGUGUGCGAAGAAGGCCUGCGGGUUGUAAAGCACUUUGGUUGGGGAAGAAGGUUGGGAGUUGAAUAGGCUUCUGAAUUGACGUUACCAAAGAACAAGCACCGGCUAACUCU